rnacentral:rRNA from 1 species
AACAUCGCCUUUUGAAUAUUAUAAAAGGUAACGCCUGCCCAGUGACAUAUGUUUAACGGCCGCGGUAUUCUGACCGUGCGAAGGUAGCGUAAUCAUUUGUCUUUUAAAUAAAGACUUGUAUGAAUGGCAUCACGAGGGCUUAACUGUCUCCCUAAUUUAAUCAGUGAAACUGAUUUUCCCGUGAAAAAGCGGGAAUAAACUCAUAAGACGAGAAGACCCUAUGGAGCUUAAAACUAAAAACUAAUUGUUCUAUCUGCCAAAUUAAAUGUCACUAAUAUACAAUUUUAGCCUAAGUUUUUUGUUGGGGCGACUAUGGAGAAUAACUAAUCCUCCAUGAAAACAUACCUAGAAUUACCAUUCUUAGUAUUAGCAAGCAUAAAUUAAAUUGAUCCAAUAAUUGAUCAACGGACCAAGUUACCCUAGGGAUAACAGCGCAAUCCAUUUCAAGAGUCCCUAUCGACAAAUGGGUUUACGACCUCGAUGUUGGAUUAGGACAUCCUAGUGGUGUAGCCGCUACUAAUGGUUCGUUUGUU